rnacentral:rRNA from 1 species
GACGAACGCUGGCGGCGUGCUUAACACAUGCAAGUCGAGCGGUAAGGCCCUUUCGGGGGUACACGAGCGGCGAACGGGUGAGUAACACGUGGGUGACCUGCCCUCAGCUCUGGGAUAAGCCCGGGAAACUGGGUCUAAUACCGGAUAUGACUCCAUGACGCAUGUCGUGGGGUGGAAAGCCUUGUGCGGCUGAGGAUGGGCCCGCGGCCUAUCAGCUUGUUGGUGGGGUGAUGGCCUACCAAGGCGACGACGGGUAGCCGGCCUGAGAGGGCGACCGGCCACACUGGGACUGAGACACGGCCCAGACUCCUACGGGAGGCAGCAGUGGGGAAUCUUGCGCAAUGGGCGAAAGCCUGACGCAGCGACGCCGCGUGAGGGAUGACGGCCUGGUGU